GCAAACUACAUCCCAGCAGUCUACGGAAAAAUGGAGGAUUCUUGAGUGCCCAGGAAGGUGCUUGGCUCCUCCACCUUCGUCACCAACUUCCUAAAGUUCGUCGAGAAAAGCUGAAAAUAAGGAUGCAGCAGGAACCCAGUCUGUGUGCGCACAGCUCCCAAGUGGUGAAAAGGCAACCGGAAAUUCUUCAGGCUGUCCCCUAAAGAUUCUACAAAAGAGAUCCAGAUUCCUGAAGAAGCAGGGAGCAGUGGCUUAGGAAAAACAACGAGAAAACCGUGUUCUUUGCAACCUGAUCACAGAGACGAUGAAAACCAAUAG
rnacentral:lncRNA from 1 species